AACCAAGUUCAAUGUGUACGAUUUUUAUUUACAGUUACAGACAUUCAAUAUUCAAAGCAACGCAGCAAAUGUCGGAAAAACAUCACAAUACAAUCUAAAAUGGAAAUAGUAAUACGAGAAAAAGUCGUCUUAUAUGUCAUUAUUUGUGCUGCCACUAUCAUCAUUACUCUUAUCGCUACGUGUAUAUUUGCGAGAGGAAUUUCCAUUUUCCUUCAUUUGACAUCGUCGAUGGCAUAUCGACUUGAUUGAUAUUCAUUAUUGCAUUCAACACGUGCAAUACGUUUC